GACGAACGCUUGCGGCAGGCUUAACACAUGCAAGUCGAGCGGGCGUAGCAAUACGUCAGCGGCAGACGGGUGAGUAACGCGUGGGAACGUACCUUUUGGUUCGGAACAACACAGGGAAACUUGUGCUAAUACCGGAUAAGCCCUUACGGGGAAAGAUUUAUCGCCGAAAGAUCGGCCCGCGUCUGAUUAGCUAGUUGGUGAGGUAACGGCUCACCAAGGCGACGAUCAGUAGCUGGUCGAGAGGAUGAUCAGCCACAUUGGGACUGAGACACGGCCCAAACUCCUACGGGAGGCAGCAGUGGGGAAUAUUGGACAAUGGGCGCAAGCCUGAUCCAGCCAUGCCGCGUGAGUGAUGAAGGCCCUAGGGUUGUAAAGCUCUUUUGUGCGGGAAGAUAAUGACGGUA
rnacentral:rRNA from 1 species